rnacentral:rRNA from 1 species
AUUGAACGCUGGCGGCAGGCCUAACACAUGCAAGUCGAACGGUAACAGGAAGAAUCUUGCUUCUUUGCUGACGAGUGGCGGCCGGGUGAGUAAUGUCUGUGAAACUGCCUGAUGGAGGGGGAUAACUACUGGAAACGGUAGCUAAUACCGCAUAACGUCGCAAGACCAAAGAGGGGGACCUUCGGGCCUCUUGCCAUCGGAUGUGCCCAGAUGGGAUUAGCUAGUAGGUGGGGUAACGGCUCACCUAGGCGACGAUCCCUAGCUGGUCUGAGAGGAUGACCAGCCACACUGGAACUGAGACACGGUCCAGACUCCUACGGGAGGCAGCAGUGGGGAAUAUUGCACAAUGGGCGCAAGCCUGAUGCAGCCAUGCCGCGUGUAUGAAGAAGGCCUUCGGGUUGUAAAGUACUUUCAGCGGGGAGGAAGGGAGUAAAGUUAAUACCUUUGCUCAUUGACGUUACCCGCAGAAGAAGCACCGGCUAACUCCGUG